rnacentral:rRNA from 1 species
GCUGCAUGGUUGUCGUCAGCUCGUGCCGUGAGGUGUCGGCUUAAGUGCCAUAACGAGCGCAACCCACAUUGUUAGUUACUAACAGGUCAGGCUGAGGACUCUGACAAGACUGCCAGCGUAAGCUGGAGGAAGGUGUGGAUGACGUCAAAUCAGCACGGCCCUUACGUCCGGGGCGACACACGUGUUACAAUGGGGGGUACAAAGGGUUGCUACUUGGUGACAAGAUGCUAAUCUCAAAAGCCUCUCCCAGUUCGGAUUGGAGUCUGCAACUCGACUCCAUGAAGCUGGAUUCGCUAGUAAUCGCGCAUCAGCAUGGCGCGGUGAAUACGUUCCCGGGCCUUGUACACACCGCCCGUCAAGCCAUGGAAGUUGGGGGUACCUAAAGUACGUAACCGCAAGGAGCGUCCUAGGGUAAAACUGAUAACUGGGGCUAAGUCGUAACAAGGUAACCAAGGGCGAAUUCUG